rnacentral:rRNA from 1 species
CGAGGGAUACUUAGUACGGCGAGUGAAGCGGUAAAAGCUCAAAUUUGAAAUCUGGUACUUUCAGUGCCCGAGUUGUAAUUUGUAGAAUUUGUCUUUGAUUAGGUCCUUGUCUAUGUUCCUUGGAACAGGACGUCAUAGAGGGUGAGAAUCCCGUUUGGCGAGGAUACCUUUUCUUUGUAAGACUUUUUCGAAGAGUCGAGUUGUUUGGGAAUGCAGCUCAAAGUGGGUGGUAAAUUCCAUCUAAAGCUAAAUAUUGGCGAGAGACCGAUAGCGAACAAGUACAGUGAUGGAAAGAUGAAAAGAACUUUGAAAAGAGAGUGAAAAAGUACGUGAAAUUGUUGAAAGGGAAGGGCAUUUGAUCAGACAUGGUGUUUUUUGCAUGCACUCGCCUCUCGUGGGCUUGGGCCUCUCAAAAAUUUCACUGGGCCAACAUCAAUUCUGGCAGCAGGAUAAAUCAUUAAGAAUGUAGCUACUUCGGUAGUGUUAUAGCUUUUUGGAAUACUGUUAGCCGGGAUUGAGGACUGCGCUUCGGCAAGGAUGUUGGCAUAAUGGUUAAAUGCCGCCCGUCUUGAACCAACGGACCA